AUAUUGUACAAUGGGCGAAAGCCUGCUCCAGCCAUGCCGCGUGUUCGAUGAAGGUCUUCGGGUUGUAAAGCACUUUUGGCAGGGAAGAAAAGGCUCUGGUUAGUACCCGGAGCUGCUGACGGUACCUGCAGAAUAAGCACCGGCUCACUACGUGCCAGCAGCCGCGGUAAUACGUAUGGUGCAAGCGUUAAACGGAAAUAAUGGGCGUAAAGCGUGCGCAGGUGGUUUGGCAAGAAGGAUGGGAAACCCCAGGGCUAUACCCUGGAACUGCAUUCUUAACAGCAAGGCUAGAGUAUGUCAGAGGGGGGUAGAAUUCCGCGUGUAGCAGUGAAAUGCGUAGAGAUGCGGAGGAAUACCGAUGGCGAAGGCAGCCCCCUGGGAUAAUACUGACGCUCAUGCACGAAAGCGUGGGGAGCAAA
rnacentral:rRNA from 1 species